CCUACGGGUGGCUGCAGUGGGGGAUAUUGCACAAUGGGGGAAACCCUGAUGCAGCGACGCCGCGUGUGGGAAGACGGUCUUCUGGAUUGUAAACCACUGUCCCCAGGGACGAAGAUGACGGUACCUGGGUAGGAAGCUCCGGCUAACUACGUGCCAGCAGCCGCGGUAAUACGUAGGUAGCGAGCGUUGUCCGGAAUUACUGGGUGAAAAGGGAGCGUAGGCGGGGAUGCAAGUUGGGUGUCAAACCUACCGGCUCAACUGGGAGUCGCACUCAAAACUGCAGGUCUUGAGUGAAGUAGAGGCAGGCGGAAUUCCUAGUGUAGCGGUGAAAUGCGUAGAUAUUAGGAGGAACACCAGCGGCGAAGGCGGCCUGCUGGGCUUUUACUGACGCUGAGGCUCGAAAGUGUGGGGAGCAAACAGGAUUAGAUACCCUUGUAGUC
rnacentral:rRNA from 1 species